UACGUAGGGGGCUAGCGUUGUCCGGAAUCAUUGGGCGUAAAGAGCUCGUAGGCGGCUUGAUAAGUCGGAUGUGAAACCUCCAGGCUCAACCUGGAGUCGCCAUCCGAUACUGUCAUGGCUAGAGUCCGGUAGGGGCCCACGGAACUCCUGGUGUAGCGGUGAAAUGCGCAGAUAUCAGGAAGAACACCGGUGGCGAAGGCGGUGGGCUGGGCCGGCACUGACGCUGAGGAGCGAAAGCGUGGGGAGCGAACAGG
rnacentral:rRNA from 1 species